rnacentral:rRNA from 13 species
CAUCGCUCAACGAAUAAAAGGUACGCCGGGGAUAACAGGCUUAUGGUUUCUGAGAGUUCAUAUCGACGAGACCGUUUGGCACCUCGAUGUCUGCUUAUCACAUCCUGGAGCUGAAGUAGGUUCCAAGGGUUCGGCUGUUCGCCGACUAAAGUGGUACAUGAGCUGGGUUCAGAACGUCGUGAGACAGUUUGGUCCCUAUCUGCCGUGGGUGUUGGAAACUUGAGAGGAUCUGUCCUUAGUACGAGAGGACCGGGAUGGACAUACCUCUGGUGGACCUGUUGUGGCGCCAGCCGCA